UGCUUAGCAUUGCACCUGCACUUAGCACUUGACAUAACACCAUUCUCGCCUAAGAUCCAAUACGGACAGACCAAGGAAGGACAGCAUCUCCCAACAAGCUUGCCCUUCUCUCUCUUCAAGUCCCACCCAACUCAGAAUUCUCUGAGGCAGCUUAAAACAAAUGCAAGCCUAUUCAAUCAACACCCAGCUCCAAACUGAUAGUACCCUUUUCACAGAAAAUCUCUUGAAGUUCUGUACAUUUUUAAGUACUUUCGCAGUUCUCAUGGGUCAAUGCCACCAUCCGUACCUCUUUUUUUAUCAGCUUUUCCAACCGUAUAUUAUCUUCUUCAAACUCAAUUGUCCGCGGCUAUGCCCAGGUGAAAUUCCACCUCAGGGUUUAGUUCUUAUCUUAGCAAUCCUUAGGAUUGGUUCCCGAGAAUUACACUUUCUCUUCUCAACUUAAAGGCGAUAUCUCUUUUGCAUAGUUCAAAAUCUAUCAACUUUGUGAAGAAGAAUGAAGAUGGAUCUCAAGGCCUGCAAAUCAAAACGCUGUCAAGAUCGAACAAAGAUCCACUGGAGAUGUCGAAAGACUUCAAGGAGUUAAGGAACUAACCUCCUUCCGGCUGGAACACGGAAGCUGCCAUUGAUGUAUAUAUAUAUAUGAAGAACAUGUGAUGUGCAUCUUUUCUAAUAGAUCGGUAGUGGAGGAUCAAAAUAUCCCCCAUCACUAAAUUUAGGGCUUUCCAGACCUUCUCCACCUCGCCUUUUCUCUCUCCCACGCUUUCCCUUUGUCAACAAAAGCCCUUUGUAGACUACUUCUUCGCCAUUGCUAUUCCUACAGUGCGUAGAAUUUGAAGAUUUCGUCAAUCAUGCUUCAACCGUAGAAGUUCACUCAUUUAACACCUGGUCAUGUCUUUUCCUCGCGAUCUCUAUGUAAUUUCAUACUUCUGGUCAUGCCUUUUCCUCGCGAUCUCUAUGUAAUUUCAUUCUUCUGAUCAUGAUUUUUACUCAUGAUACCUAUGUAAUUUGAGGGUUGGACCUGCUGCUCUUGGAAAUCAUCAGCAGCUGGGUUGAAGCAUUAAAGCUCAGCAAGCGUUUGGGGUUGCAGCACCAAUCUUGCUUUUUUUAAGUUCUAUGAACGGUUCUAAAGCAUGGAAGAGACUGAUGAACAUGACUACAAAGAAGGAUCACCCCCGUUGACCUGAUGAUCGAGACGAUCUAUUGUUUCCACUUCCAUGUUUUGUGUUAAGAAUAUUAAUCAUUGGUGCAUUGAAGGAUGUUAUUGUUAUGGACAACCUUGUUGUGAUGGUUUUACUCCUCUCUGUGUAUCUCUCCCGUCUUCCAUUCAAUCAAGGUUUGGAAGGAAAUAUAAGGCAAAAGGACUGAGAAACUUUUGUCUUCCAAAAUGGGAAAAAUUCAAGAGUACUUCCCAUCUUCCCUUUCCCUCGCCAUUCCUUUUACCUAAACCAGCAUGAUUUUGAGGAAAUUGUUUAUUAACAAUUCGUUGUUACCGUGUGAUUUUGUAAGUGUUUGGGCCUCCUUGAUGAGCAGUUCGAGUUCAAACAACAGCCCAUCAAAGAAUUCUAGCCAAGAGUUUUAAGCUUUCCAAAAA